AUAGAGAAACUCAGCAGGAAGUUGAUAUGGAAACUCAGCAGGUGCCUUUCUCACCAGCACCGUAUGAAGGGUGGCCUUUUUGAAGAUGUAACUAUUAGAGCUGGGCAUUCUCCUCCCCCGGCAGACAGCUCUCAAGCAGGAGCACACCGAGGCCAGCAGUCAGCUCAGGAGGCAUCAAUUACAAAGACAAGAACCAGAGCUAUGGGAUAAGAGCAUUGCAUUGAAGUUUUAAGUUUACUUGUUUGCAUGUAUUCUCUAAGAGAAGAGUUAACUUUAGAUCUUUGAAAACCCAGGACUGUGAAGAAAGUCAUAGUAGCAGGUUGAGGCAAGUGUAGAAGUUACAUCUCUAUUUCCCACAGAGAGGAAUAUUCACAUAUGUGCAGUGUCAGCACCACCUGGAAGGUUAUUACCUAAUGGAGAUCCAUCUGUCCUGUGUGGAAUCCAGUGAGGAAUUUUAUUGGUGGAACUGAAUGUUAACUGCUGUAAAUCCUAGGAAAUAAACUUUUAAAGAGUUUCUCAGGAUGAUUUAAAACAAAUUUUAAAAAAGAAAAGUAGAAAACAUUUUAUACUUUAUUCAGAGGAGAUGCUCAAUAGAUGUUUGUUGAAUGAAUGAUUAUCAAAUUAAAGGAUUUCCUAUUUAUGCAAA
rnacentral:lncRNA from 1 species